GGCGAACGGGUGAGUAACACGUGGGCAAUCUGCCCUGCACUCUGGGACAAGCCCUGGAAACGGGGUCUAAUACCGGAUACUGAUCCUCGCAGGCAUCUGCGAGGUUCGAAAGCUCCGGCGGUGCAGGAUGAGCCCGCGGCCUAUCAGCUAGUUGGUGAGGUAACGGCUCACCAAGGCGACGACGGGUAGCCGGCCUGAGAGGGCGACCGGCCACACUGGGACUGAGACACGGCCCAGACUCCUACGGGAGGCAGCAGUGGGGAAUAUUGCACAAUGGGCGAAAGCCUGAUGCAGCGACGCCGCGUGAGGGAUGACGGCCUUCGGGUUGUAAACCUCUUUCAGCAGGGAAGAAGCGAAAGUGACGGUACCUGCAGAAGAAGCGCCGGCUAACUACGUGCCAGCAGCCGCGGUAAUACGUAGGGCGCAAGCGUUGUCCGGAAUUAUUGGGCGUAAAGAGCUCGUAGGCGGCUUGUCACGUCGGUUGUGAAAGCCCGGGGCUUAACCCCGGGUCUGCAGUCGAUACGGGCAGGCUAGAGUUCGGUAGGGGAGAUCGGAAUUCCUGGUGUAGCGGUGAAAUGCGCAGAUAUCAGGAGGAACACCGGUGGCCAAAGCGGAUCUCUGGGCCGAUACUGACGCUUAAGAACCAAAGCGUGGGGAGCGAACAGGAUUAGAUACCCUGGUAGUCCACGCCGUAAACGGUGGGCACUAGGUGUGGGCAACAUUCCACGUUGUCCGUGCCGCAGCUAACGCAUUAAGUGCCCCGCCUGGGGAGUACGGCCGCAAGGCUAAAACUCAGAGGAAUUGACGGGGGCCCGCACAAGCGGCGGAGCAUGUGGCUUAAUUCGACGCAACGCGAAGAACCUUACCAAGGCUUGACAUACACCGGAGAACCCUGGAGACAGGGUCCCCCUUGUGGUCGGUGU
rnacentral:rRNA from 1 species